rnacentral:rRNA from 1 species
UACGUAGGGUGCAAGCGUUGCCCGGAUUUAUUGGGCGUAAAGGGCGCGUAGGCGGCUCGGCACGUCCGUUGUGAAAUCGCCCGGCUCAACUGGGCGGGGUCAGCGGAUACGGUCGAGCUCGAGCAAGCUAGGGGGCAAUGGAAUUCCCGGUGUAGUGGUGGAAUGCGUAGAUAUCGGGAGGAACACCAGUGGCGAAGGCGGCAUCCUGGACCGGUAUUGACGCUGAGGCGCGAAAGCCAGGGGAGCAAACGGG